AUUGAACGCUGGCGGCAUGCUUUACACAUGCAAGUCGAACGGCAGCACGGGUGCUUGCACCUGGUGGCGAGUGGCGAACGGGUGAGUAAUGCAUCGGAACGUGCCCAUGAGUGGGGGAUAGCCCGGCGAAAGCCCGGAUUAAUACCGCGAUACGCCCUUAGGGGGGAAANCGGGGGAUCUUCGGACCUCGCGCUAUUGGAGCGGCCGAUGUCGGAUUAGCUAGUAGGUGAGGUAAAGGCUCACCUAGGCGACGAUCCGUAGCUGGUCUGAGAGGAUGAUCAGCCACACUGGGACUGAGACACGGCCCAGGACUCCUACGGGAGGCAGGCAGUGGGGAAUUUUGGACAAUGGGCGCAAGCCUGAUCCAGCCAUGCCGCGUGAGUGAAGAAGGCCUCGGUUGUAAG
rnacentral:rRNA from 1 species